UGGAUGGAUGGAUGGGAUGUUACUAGCUACCAGUGUAGAAGUCUAGUAUGUGGAAGUGGAGUGUACGUGAUCUUGAUCAUGAAAGUAUGAAGCAUAUUCCACAAGGGUCACAACAAUUUGGCAAAACUCAACAUGAUAGCAAGCAGCAUAUGUGUAUAGGUUUUUGAAUACGGACAUCAUAUGGCUUUGGUAGGAUGAAGGCAUAUCAUUGAGGAGCUAGCUAGGUCAUUGUUUUUCAAGAUAAAUUUCCCAAGUACUUUAGACAAAACAGAACAAGGUUCAUUUUAUCAUGCCAUAUCUCAAACAUCAAAAACCUAGGUAGCAUGCUUUCCUAAAGAUAUAGGUUCACAAGCAAA
rnacentral:lncRNA from 1 species